rnacentral:rRNA from 1 species
GGAAAGAUGAAAAGAACUUUGAAAAGAGAGUUAAACAGUACGUGAAAUUGUUGAAAGGGAAACGAUUGAAGUCAGUCAUACCAACGGGAAAUCAACCUUUUGAGCUUGGUCUCGUGGGUUUGAAGAGUUUCAAAGCCCUCGGAUUCGCGGGAUUGGGAUCUCUUGGUGUACUUUUUCGUACGGUUAGUCAACAUCGGUUUUGAAUGUCAUAAAAUGACUGGAGGAAUGUAGCUUCGAUCUCGUAUUGAAGUGUUAUAGCCUUUGGUAGAUGUGAUGUUUGAGACCGAGGAUUGCAACGGAUACCCCUCAGGGCUAUUCGUCUGAUCUCUGAUACGUUGCCUUGAUGUUGAAAGCUUGCUUAUGAUGUUAGGGUAUUACGGUCAAAAGGUUAGAACGAAUUACAUUCGUUAAGGAUGUUGAUGUAAUGACUUUAAACGACCCGUCUUGAAACACGGACCA